CGUGGUGUAAGCUUCACCUCGACAGUUCGAUUGGUAAUUGUUCUAUUAAUGCCCCAGAAUACGAGUUUUAUGUAUCAUUCGAACUUGCCAGUAGACAUGAAUAC